rnacentral:rRNA from 1 species
CCUACGGGUGGCAGCAGUGGGGAAUAUUGCACAAUGGGGGAAACCCUGAUGCAGCGACGCCGCGUGAGUGAAGAAGUAUUUCGGUAUGUAAAGCUCUAUCAGCAGGGAAGAAGAAAGACGGUACCUGACUAAGAAGCCCCGGCUAACUACGUGCCAGCAGCCGCGGUAAUACGUAGGGGGCAAGCGUUAUCCGGAUUUACUGGGGGUAAAGGGAGCGGAGACGGUUGUGCAAGUCUGAAGUGAAAGCCCAGGGCACAACCCUGGGACUGCUUUGGAAACUGUGGAGCUGGAGUGCUGGAGAGGUAAGUGGAAUGCCUAGUGUAGCGGUGAAAUGCGUAGAUAUUAGGCGGAACUCCAGUGGCGAAGGCGGCUUACUGGACAGUAACUGACGUUGAGGCUCGAAAGCGUGGGGAGCAAACAGGAUUAGAUACCCCAGUAGUC